CGUGCCGCGUUGCCGGCCGGCGUACAGGUGCUGCAUGGCUGUCGUCAGCUCGUGCUGUGAAGUGUUGGGUUAACGUCCCGCAACGAGCGCAACCCCUGCUGCCUGUUGCCACCACGAGAGGUGGGGACUCAGGCGGGACCGCCGGUGACAAACCGGAGGAAGGGUGGGGACGACGUCAAGUCAUCAUGGCCCUUAUGUCCUGGGCUACACACGUGCUACAAUGGCCGGUACAGAGCGCAGCGAGGCCGCGAGGCGGAGCGAAUCGCUUAAAGCCGGUCCCAGUACGGAUUGGAGUCUGCAACCCGACUCCAUGAAGUUGGAAUCGCUAGUAAUCGCGCAUCAGCAUGGCGCGGUGAAUACGUUCCCGGGCCUU
rnacentral:rRNA from 1 species